rnacentral:rRNA from 1 species
GGGUGCAAGCGUUACUCGGAAUUACUGGGCGUAAAGGGUGCGUAGGUGGUUCGUUAAGUCUGAUGUGAAAGCCCUGGGCUCAACCUGGGAAUUGCAUUGGAUACUGGCGGGCUAGAGUGCGGUAGAGGGUAGUGGAAUUCCCGGUGUAGCAGUGAAAUGCGUAGAUAUCGGGAGGAACAUCCGUGGCGAAGGCGACUGCCUGGACCAGCACUGACACUGAGGCACGAAAGCGUGGGGAGCAAACAGGA